UACAGAGGUCUCAAGCGUUGUUCGGAUUCAUUGGGCGUAAAGGGUGCGUAGGUGGCGCUGUAAGUCGGGUGUGAAAUUUCGGAGCUUAACUCCGAAACUGCAUUCGAUACUGCGGUGCUUGAGGACUGGAGAGGAGACUGGAAUUCAUGGUGUAGCAGUGAAAUGCGUAGAGAUCAUGAGGAAGACCAGUGGCGAAGGCGGGUCUCUGGACAGUUCCUGACGCUGAGGCACGAAGGUCAGGGGAGCAAACGGG
rnacentral:rRNA from 1 species